UAGAGAGCCCUCGGGCUGUCUCCUAGGGCUGUUCCAGUCUCUACUCUAGCUCCCUACCUGGAUAGAGCCCUAGCGCCUUCGCCCUCGAGUCGGCUGCGCCUCCAGGUCCAACUCUGAUUGGUGUCGGUCUGGCCCAAGCCAGCUUCUGACCCGUUGCUCUGCGCCCUUGGGGGCGUGGGGAGGAGCCGCUACUCCUGUCUCCUGCCUAGCAGCGGCCCGAGGUCAGUUGGCCCACGGGCACCUUCGAGAAUCCAGACCCAUAUGGGGUGGCGACCCCACGGUUUAAGAAUCUAGGCUUUAGGAAAUUCAGGCAGUCCUCCCCACCCACCGACCACCAGAACUUUCUGCUCAAACAAUCCUGUAACUGAAGUUGCAAGAGGAAAGAAAGGAUUCUUUGAGGAGUGGGGGUCGUGGAAAAGAGAGAAUGCCAGUGGGACAGAAAACCUAGAAGAAGAAAAGAACAGGCCGACUCCUCCAGCGUGGAAACACAACGUCACUGUGAUAGAAAGCAUUCCUACAGCUCCCGAGAAUCUGCAAAAGCCAAUUUUCAUCUUGCAAAUAAUCAUGAUGACUUGGCCUUCUAGAAACCACUUCGAUUUUGUCUUUGUGGAUGUGUAUGGAACUGAACUUUGGUCUUUGGAUGUAUAACUGAAUGGGGUGAAGGACGACUCCAAAAAGCUUGACCUUCCAACUCCCUCAGUGAAAUUUGACUUACCUGAGCAACAGAAGACCAAGUCCUUGGUUCUCCCCAAACCUCCCUUUACUUUGUCCUCCCUCAAACCAGCCAGACACAUUAAGAGGAUGGCCACUGAAGCAUACCUCUCAAAGGACCAAGAUGAGGAAUAAAAAACCCAGAAAGGGGUGGGGAUUAAUUUGCCUAAGGAGAAACAAGCAAUGACACAGCUGAGAUUUGAACUCAAGCCCUCUGACAUCAAAGCUAACUCAAUUUCCAAUCUGAUAGGAUACCAUUACAGUUUGGUGAGUAGGCAAGUCCUGGGACCAAGCAGCAGAAAUGAUUACUCAAUCUCCCUGUGCAAGCUUUAGCGUCUAAUUAGUUGAUGAUUGGAAGGACUAUGGAAUACAAUUUUAGUAUGUCUCUCUUUUCUUCUUCAGGAAAACAAUGCAAUAUUUGUGAGCUGAAAGAAAGAGAGAAAUGGUUGGAAAUGUACUCUUUUGCAGAGGCAGGAGAAUUGAUGAUGUU